rnacentral:lncRNA from 1 species
AUAAAUUCUUACUUUUAAAAUUCAAUUGAAAAUAGUUUAUACGUUAACAAUUUACAUACCUGGUGAAUAAAAUACAAUGAUGUUUCAAUUAUUUAUUCCAACAACUAUCUACAUGUAAGUGUGAUAUGUGAUGUUGGGAGGUUGCGGUCUUCCCUUUUUAACCCCAACAUCACGUGCUGAUUGGAAUUAUUUUAUUCAUCUAUGAAAUUUAAGCG